CGCCCCCGAAAGAGCCUUAGCCCCGCCCCCAAUUGGAUUUUUUAAUCAACGGAAACCAAAAAUACAACCCCGGGGGGGAGGGGGGGGGCAGGGCCACACCUGUGACAUCACGGGGGAGGGGCCAGGUGCGUCUGGGGGGGUCCCAGGUGGAUUUGGGGGAUCCAGGUGGGAUUUUGGGCGGUCCCAGGUGGGAUUUUGGGUGGUCCCAGGUGGAUUUGGGGGAUCCAGGUGGGAUUUUGGGCGGUCCCAGGUGGGAUUUUGGGUGGUCCCAGGUGAUUUUUGGGGGUUCCAGGUGGGAUUUUGGGGGCAUCGAGGUGUUCCUGGGCGUGUCCAGGUGGGUUUUUGGAGAUUCCAGGUGGGCUUUGGGGUGAUCCAGGUGUCCUUGGGGGAGACUCAGGUGUCCCGGAGCCAUUCCCAGGUGUUUUUGGGGUGAUCCAGGUGCUCCUGAGGGCUCCAGGUGUGCUCGGGAGGAGUCCAGGUGUUCCUGGGAGGGUUUCAGGUGUCCCGGGGGCAGUUCCAGGUGUUUUUGGGAGGGAUCCAGGUGUUUUUGGGGUGUCCCCGGUGCUUUCUGGGGACAUCCAGGUGGGUCUGGAGGGAUCCAGGUGUGUUGGGCAGGUGCAGGUGCCCAGGUGUGCUGGGAACUGGUGAUCCAGCUGUGCAGGAACCCGAACAUCUGGGCGGGCUGGAACUCAGGUGUGAGGGAUCCAGGUGACAUGGGAUGGGUGGGACCCGGUUAUCCAGGUGUGAUGUCACCUGGUUAUGACAUCACCCACCCAUCCAGGUGUGACGUCACCUCUCCACCUCUCCCCACUCAGGUGUGGCGUCACCCGGCUAUGACGUCACCCCCACCCAGGUGUGACGUCACCAGCUCACCUCGCCAUGACAUCACCUGCCCACAUCCCCCCCUCCUGCCCAGGUGUGACGUGACCCCUGCCAGGUGUGACGUCAUCCAGGUGUGACAUCAUCCAGGUGUGACGUCAUCCAGGUGUGUGACCUCCAGGCUCACCUGGGCGUGACAUCACCGUUGUACCCAGCUGUCCCCGCCCCCCUCACCUGUCCACACCCCGAGGCGUGAUGUCACCAAGCCCACCAGGUGUGAUGUCACCUGCGCCACCAGGUGUGAUGCCACCUGUGCCACCAGGUGUGAUGUCACCUGUGCCACCAGGUGUGAUGAUGUCACACCUGUGACAUCGCCCUGAGUACCCCCUGUGUCCCUGCACCCGCCCAGGCGUGACAUCACCUGUGCCCAGGUGUCACUCAGGUGUCACUCAAGUGUCACUCAGGUGUGACAUUGCCUGUCCAGAUGUCACUCAGGUGUUACAGGUGUGACAGUACCUGUACCCAGGUGUCACUCCGGUGUGCCAGGUGUCACUCAGGUGUCACAGGUGUUACAGGUGUGGCAGUAUCUGUACCCAGGAGUCACUCAGGUGUGCCAAGUGUCACCCAGGUGUCACUCAGGUGUGCCAAGUGUUACAGGUGUGACAUUACCUGUACCCAGGGUGUCACUCAGGUGUCUCAGGUGGGACAUUACCUGCACUCAGGUGUCACUCAGGUGUCCCAGGUGUCACUCAGGUGUCACAGUGUGUCACUCAGGUGUGGCAGUCCCCGCACAGGUGCCGCAGGGUCUCACGAAGCUGUCCCUCCACAUGCAGGAUCUCUCACAGGUGUCACAGGUGUGACAGUACCUGUACCCAGGUGUCACUCAGGUGUCACUCAGGUGUGCCGGGUGUCCUUGCACAGGUGCCGUGGUGUCUCACGAAGCUGUCCCUCCACAUGAAGGACCUGUCGCAGGUGUGACAGGUGUCACAGGUGUGACAGUAUCUGUGCCCAGGUGUCACAGGUGUGUCACUCAGGUGUCCCCACACAGGUGCUGCUGUGCCAGACGAAGCUGUCCCUCCACAUGAAGGAGCGGUGGCAGGUGUGGCAGGUGUGACAGUAUCUGUACCCAGGUGUCACUCAGGUGUCACUCAGAUGUGCCGGGUGUCCCCGCACAGGUGCCGCGGUGUCUCACGAAGCUGUCCCUCCACAUGAAGGACCGGUGGCAGGUGUGGCAGGUGUGACAGUAUCUGUGCCCAGGUGUCACAGGUGUCACUCAGGUGUGCCGGGUGUCACUCAGGUGUGCCGGCUGUCCCCGCACAGGUGCCGCGGUGCCGGACGAAGCUGUCCCUCCACAUGAAGAACCUGUCGCAGGUGUGCCAGGUGUCACAGGUGUGUCACUCAGGUGUCACUCAGGUGUCACAGGUGUGUCACUCAGGUGUCACUCAGGUGUCACAGGUGUGUCACUCAGGUGUGCCGGGUGUCACUCAGGUGUGCCGGCUGUCCCCGCACAGGUGCCGCGGUGCCUCACGAAGCUGUCCCUCCACAUGAAGGAGCGGUGGCAGGUGUGGCAG